GUCACGAGAAGGGAAUAAGAGACGGAAGGACGCGUCAAUCUGGGACUCAACAACACCUUUAGAGAAAACAUUGCCCCAAAUAUGACUUUUAAUUUAUUACUCUGUAAACUAAACGAUGUGGAACACACGAUAAGGCUGCAGUCCUCGUCCUCUUCGUCUUCCUCCUCCUCCUCGUCCCCCUCCUCCUCGCGGGGCUUCUCGGGCUCGUCGCGGUGGUGGUGAAGCUCGAUGAGCAGGUAGUAGAGGACUGCUGCGACCACGCCCCCCACCAUGGGCCCUGCCACUGGGAUCCACCACCAAUAGCCUGCCGUGCUGCAUGGAGUGGAAAACAAUUGCGAGGUGAUACUUUGGUCUCAGCGAUGGAAGCACUGUUGGACCAACAAAAACAAUUGACCUUGCCUGGUUAAGAGCAUUUGUGAACUGUUGAGCGCGAUCUACACCAGUCAUUUUUGAGGGAUUAUCAUCACACUUCAACAUCUCUGUCUUGUCAAGGCUGCCUCGUUGACUAGUAAAAUGAGGUGGCAGUUUACGUGACUCCUGGCAGACAAAGCGACACCGCACUCAAAAAGUCACUUUGCCGUAUUUUCUUAUUAGCGCAUUCACCUUGGUUAUUUUGUUUAUCAUUAUUAUGUUGGUUAAGAAUGUUUAAAAUGUGACUCAACACACCGUAUUCAAAUAUUUAUAAAUAGUUUAAUAAUGAAAACAGUUUGCCUAGUGAGUAGAACAAUUCAGUGAUUUCCCUUUCCCUAGUUAUUGUAAAUAUAAUAUCUGUUGUAAUUGGAAGCAAAAUGUCCUGCACUACAUUGUUGCAACCAGCAGAGGCGAUGUUCAGUCAGUCUCAAAAAAUCCACCAUGAUGUCAGUUAAUGGUGGUGUUUGCAGUACAUAGGUGGCAACAAAGAAACAAAAGCAUCAAGCCUGUUGAUGAAAAAAUUAUGAAAUAAAUCACAAUGCAGGGUAGAGCAAACACAAUUUUCUGGCACUAUAAUGCAGUGGCGAGCCGUGCGUUUCCCACCUAGGCCUUCAGGGAUGUCUGACUUCAAUGAUUACUUCUCAAAAUACCACCAUUUACAUCACCACAUGACCAUUACUGAAGAAACACUAUACAGCAACACAUUUACGCCCUACUUAACAUUGAAACACAUCAACAGUGUACAAAACGGGUUAUUUUGUGGCGCAUUUAAAAAACAAUUAAAACGCAUCAGCAAUUAAAACAUAUCUUAUGGGGUACUGUCAAAAUUAAAAUUGCAAAUAACAUAUUAAAAGUUGAAAAAAUUCAAUAUUUGAACUCACAAUUUAUAAAACCUUUUUGACGCCGUAUAAGCCAGUGGUACCUCUUGUCGUCGGCUUAUUCGAGUGGCCCCAUUUCAUCGCCAGAACAGCUGAGCUAGCUUCUAGGGUUGGCCGACAUUGUCUCACAAGAAAUAGACUCUCUUUAAAUAUCUUUCUUAAAAAUGGCUUUGCAAAUAUAUAUCUGUCACCUAAUCAAGGUUUUGUUCUCCUUCUCUGCUAUCCCUUGCUACGGCGCAACACUUCCUGCUUCCUGCUAAAUUUAAACUUGUGAAUGGAUACUCACUUUUGAAUGACAAGUGAGUAUCCAAUCACAGUCUUGUUAACAUCAGGCUACUUCGAUAGGCUACUGUCAACAAUUUGUGAUCUGAUUGGCCGUCACAACUGUCUCUCAACUAUAUGAGUUCUCAAAUUCAUCCGCUAACGGUCCCCAUGAGUAUCCACUCACAGGACGCGUAAGUGUCACUUUAAAACAUUGGGCCAGCUAGAAGGCCUUACUGACAACAGCUCGCGAUCUGAUUGGCUAUCCCAAUUAUCUAUCACCUGUAUGUACAUAAACAUAUGUUUCUUAUUGCAAGUUUGUUCUUAAAUAAGAUAGUGAACAUACAAGACAACUUGUCUUUUAGUAGUAAGUAAGCAAACAAAGGCUCUAAUUUAGCUGCUUACAUAUGCAGUAACAUUUUGUGUCAUUUAUCAUUCUAUUAUGUUGUCAACAUUGUUAAGGACAAGUGGUAGAAAAUGAAUUAUUAAUCUUCUUGUUCAUUUACUGUUAAUAUCUGCUUUUUUUCUCUUUUGUCAUGUUCUAGCUACACUUCUGUUAAGAUGUAAUAAUCACUUGUUCUGCUGUUGUUUGGAUGCUUUGCAUUAGUUUUGGAUGACACCACAAAUUUGGGUAUCAAUCCGAUACCAAGUCGUUAUAGGAUCAUACUUUGGUCGUAUUUAAAGUCCUCAUGUGUCCUGGGACAUAUUUCGUGAGUUUAUAAACAAAAUAUAAACUUUAAAAAAACAAAAGAAAAUGUUAUGAUGCCUAAAAAUAUAAUCAUAGUAGUAUCAACUAGAUACGCUCAUGUACUUGGUAUCAUUACAGUGGAUGUUAGGUGUAGAUCCACCAUUGGCGUUUGUUUCCAUUCUGAUGCCGGUGAGCUACGGUGUGUAGUGAAGCACGCUGCUCCCAAGCUCUGGAACGACCUACCUCUGAGUGUUAGACAAGCCUCCUCUCUUCCUGUUUUUAAAUCUCUCUUAAAAACAUACUUUUAUUCUUUGGCUUUUAACACUAAGUGAUAUCCAUCCUGCAAUGUCGCCCCAUUAUACACCUGCUGUGAACCUGUUUUUAUGGUUUUAUGUUUUAUUUAUUUAUUUUUAUCAUGUUCUGUUUGUGUUGUGUUGUUUGCUUGGUCCUCGUAUUAUCUUUUAACCUGUCCAUUGUACAGCACUUUGGCUACCCCUGUGGUAAAUUUUAAAUGUGCUUUAUAAAUAAAGUUGAUUUGAUUUGAUUUGAUUUGAUGUUUAGC